AGAGUUUGAUCCUGGCUCAGGAUGAACGCUAGCGGCAGGCUUAAUACAUGCAAGUCGAGGGGCAGCAUGACUGUAGCAAUACAGUUGAUGGCGACCGGCAAACGGGUGCGGAACACGUACAGAACCUUCCUUCGAGCGGGGAAUAGCCCAGAGAAAUUUGGAUUAAUACCCCAUAGCAUAACGGAGUGGCAUCACUCUGUUAUUAGAGAUUUAUCACUUGAAGAUGGCUGUGCGGCUGAUUAGGUAGUUGGCGGGGUAACGGCCCACCAAGCCUGCGAUCAGUAACUGGUGUGAGAGCACGACCAGUCACACGGGCACUGAGACACGGGCCCGACUCCUACGGGAGGCAGCAGUAAGGAAUAUUGGUCAAUGGACGAAAGUCUGAACCAGCCAUGCCGCGUGGAGGAUGAAGGUCCUCUGGAUUGUAAACUUCUUUUAUAUGGGACGAAAAAAGGCUUUUCUAAGUCGUCUGACGGUACCAUAUGAAUAAGCACCGGCUAACUCCGUGCCAGCAGCCGCGGUAAUACGGAGGGUGCAAGCGUUAUCCGGAUUCACUGGGUUUAAAGGGUGCGUAGGUGGGUUGGUAAGUCAGUGGUGAAAUCUCCGAGCUUAACUUGGAAACUGCCAUUGAUACUAUCAGUCUUGAAUAUUGUGGAGGUUAGCGGAAUAUGUCAUGUAGCGGUGAAUGCUUAGAUAUGACAUAGAACACCAAUUGCGAAGGCAGCUGGCUACACAUAUAUUGACACUGAGGCACGAAAGCGUGGGGAUCAAACAGGAUUAGAUACCCUGGUAGUCCACGC
rnacentral:rRNA from 1 species